AGGCCUGGCGCGGGGUGCCUGC
rnacentral:miRNA from 1 species